rnacentral:rRNA from 1 species
GGGGAAUAUUGCACAAUGGGGGAAACCCUGAUGCAGCGACGCCGCGUGAAGGAAGAAGUAUUUCGGUAUGUAAGCUUCUAUCAGCGGGGAAGAAAAUGACGGUACCUGACUAAGAAGCCCCGGCUAACUACGUGCCAGCAGCCGCGGUAAUACGUAGGGGGCAAGCGUUAUCCGGAUUUACUGGGUGUAAAGGGAGCGUAGACGGCAUGGCAAGUCUGGUGUGAAAGGCAGGGGCUCAACCCCUGGACUGCAUUGGAAACUGUCAGGCUGGAGUGCAGGAGAGGUAAGUGGAAUUCCUAGUGUAGCGGUGAAAUGCGUAGAUAUUAGGAGGAACACCAGUGGCGAAGGCAGCUCACAGUAAUGUAACUGACGCUGAUGCUCGAAAGUGUGGGUAUCAAAC